rnacentral:lncRNA from 1 species
GCCCAGUGCUGGACCAGGGCCUUGUCUCCAGCCUCUCCCCCAUGGGACUCUGGGGCCUUUGGGGGCCCUUGGGGGCCUUCCUGCACCCUCACACCUACUCAUCUCUGGACUCAGCCUCAGUGUGAAUGCUCACCUCGGGCUGAGCCAACCCCUCCAGACACGUUCUGCAGCUCGAGGAAGGAACUGCCCUUUGCAGCUGGGAUCUGCCCGAGUUUCAGCAGCAGCCUUGAAUUGUAAUCCCGAGCGGCUGGCGAAUAACACAGCACACAGCACUCGAGAGCCCAGGUGUCCAGGGUCACUCCCACCCCACCCUUGGCCUCCUGCUGGCUCAGCCCCACACCCCCACCAAAGGGCCAGGCUCCGGACCACCCUGGCCUGCCACACCCCCAUCCUAUGACUAUAAAAACUCGCGAGACCCUGGCAGGCACGCACAAGCUGCUGGACGUGGAGAGGAGCGGAUUGGCAGAGGAGCACUCAGGCGGCUGGACGUCGAGAGGAACGCACUGACGGGCGCCGGCACCCCGGCAGGCUACCAACCGGCAGCAGAAUGACCUGGAGUUUGGCUGGGGCAGCCAGAGGAGAGCCCGGGCCCGACUCCAGGGGAAAACCGUCCCACUCCAUCUUCUUCUGCCUUCCCCCAUCUGCUACCUCCACUCAAUAAAACCUUGCACUCAU